CAGCUUGAGACCUACGGGGAGGUCUCAGCUCCAGUGCUCCAGCCCGAGGUCAACUUGGCGACCUCGGAGCUCCCACCUGAGGUCAACAUGGCGACCUCGGAGCUCCCGCCUGAGGUCAACCUGGCGACCUCAGAGCUCCAGCCAGAGACCCCUGGGGAUAUCUCAGCUGCUGAGGAGGCCGCCCCGCUGUCCUGUCCCGCCAAGGAAGCUGUCCCGCUGUCCUGUCCCACCGAUUAAGCUGUUCCGCUGUCCUGUCCCGUCGAGGAAGCUGUCCCGCUGUGUUGUCCUGCCGAGGACGUCUCUCCGAGCUCCAGCCCUGCUGCCGACGUCGCCCCGAGUUCCAGCAGUGGACAUCGCCCGGUGCAGGUGGUGCUCUGCCUGCCUGCUGCCCGGCGGAGGCCACCCUGUUUCCUGAUGCAGCGAAGGACGGGUUACAUAGGGGGCCAGGACCGCCGAGCAGUCUGUUCUGUCCCCUCCCUGUUAAGUUAUUGUCGGAGGUGUGAGGGUGUGUUCAAUUCUUACCAGCGGUAGGCAUUUAAGGUAAAUGUCAUUAGUUAUUUAAAGCCCUGGCCAUCCAUCCAUCCAUCUUCUACCACUUACUCCUUCUUCAGGGUC
ensembl:lncRNA